rnacentral:rRNA from 1 species
CCUACGGGUGGCAGCAGUGAGGAAUCUUGGUCAAUGGACGCAAGUCUGAACCAGCCAUGCCGCGUGCAGGAAGACGGCUCUAUGAGUUGUAAACUGCUUUUGUACGAGGGUAAACGCAGAUACGCGUAUCUGUCUGACAGUAUCGUACGAAUAAGGAUCGGCUAACUCCGUGCAAGCAGCCGCGGUAAUACGGAGGAUUCAGGCGUUAUCCGGAUUGAUUGGGUUUAAAGGGUGCGUAGGCGGUCGGAUAAGUUAGAGGUGAAAUCCCGAGGCUCAACUUCGGAAUUGCCUCGGAGACGGUUCGGCUAGAGAGUAGUUGAGGUAGGCGGAAUGUAUGGUGUAGCGGUGAAAUGCUUAGAGAUCAUACAGAACACCGAUUGCGAAGGCAACUUACCAAGCUACUUCUGACGUUGAGGCACGAAAGCGUGGGGAGCAAACAGGAUUAGAUACCCUAGUAGUC